rnacentral:rRNA from 1 species
CAGAGGGUGCAAACGUUGUUCGGAAUUACUGGGCGUAAAGCGAGUGUAGGCGGUCUGAUAAGUCGGGUGUGAAAGCCCUGGGCUCAACCCAGGAAGUGCACUCGAAACUGUCAGGCUAGAGUAUCGGAGAGGUUGGUGGAAUUCUCGGUGUAGAGGUGAAAUUCGUAGAUAUCGAGAGGAACACCGGUGGCGAAGGCGGCCAACUGGACGAAUACUGACGCUGAGACUCGAAAGCGUGGGGAGCAAACAGGAUUAGAUACCCUGGUAGUCCACGCCGUAAACGAUGGGUGCUAGGUGUCGCGGGCUUUGACUCCCGCGGUGCCGUAGCUAACGCAUUAAGCACCCCGCCUGGGAAGUACGGCCGCAAGGCUA